rnacentral:rRNA from 1 species
GACAGAGGGGACAAGCGUUGUCCGGAUUUACUGGGCGUACAGAGCGCGCAGUCGGUCGUUCAAGUCGAGUGUGAAAGCCCCCGGCUCAACUGGGGAGGGUCAUUCGAUACUGAUCGACUCGAAGGCAGGAGAGGGAAGUGGAAUUCCCGGUGUAGUGGUGAAAUGCGUAGAUAUCGGGAGGAACACCAGUGGCGAAGGCGGCUCACUGGCCCGGAACUGACGCUGAGGAGCGAAAGUGUGGGGAGCGAACAGG